rnacentral:ncRNA from 1 species
CUAUAACUUAAUUUAGUUAUGGCGGAAGGAG